GACGAACGCUGGCGGCGUGCUUAACACAUGCAAGUCGAACGGAAAGGCCCUGCUUUUGUGGGGUGCUCGAGUGGCGAACGGGUGAGUAACACGUGAGUAACCUGCCCUUGACUUUCGGAUAACUUCACGAAACUGGGGCUAAUACAGGAUAGGAGCUCCUGCUGCAUGGUGGGGGUUGGAAAGUUUCGGCGGUUGGGGAUGGACUCGCGGCUUACCAGCUUGUUGGUGGGGUAGGGGCUUACCAAGGCUUUGACGGGUAGCCGGCCUGAGAGGGUGACCGGCCACAUUGGGACUGAGAGACGGCCCAGACUCCUACGGGAGGCAGCAGUGGGGAAUAUUGCACAAUGGGCGGAAGCCUGAUGCAGCAACGCCGCGUGCGGGAUGACGGCCUUCGGGUUGUAAACCGCUUUCGCCUGUGACGAAGCGUGAGUGACGGUAAUGGGUAAAGAAGCACCGGCUAACUACGUG
rnacentral:rRNA from 1 species